rnacentral:rRNA from 1 species
CAGCAGCCGCGGUAAAACGAAGGGUGCAAGCGUUAAUCGGAAUUACUGGGCGUAAAGCGUGCGUAGGCGGUUUGUUAAGUCUGUUGUGAAAUCCCCGGGCUCAACCUGAGAAUGGCAAUGGAUACUGGCAAGCUAGAGUGUGUCAGAGGAUGGUGGAAUUCCCGGUGUAGCGGUGAAAUGCGUAGAGAUCGGGAGGAACAUCAGUGGCGAAGGCGGCCAUCUGGGACAACACUGACGCUGAGGCACGAAAGCGUGGGGAGCAAACAGGAUUAGAUACCCCCGUAGUCCCUGUCUCUUAUAC